UUCGUAGGCGGUGCGGCAAGUUUGGGAGUGAAAUCUCUGGGCUCAACCCAGAGGCUGCUUCCAAAACUGCUGUGCUUGAGUGUGAGAGAGGCUCGUGGAAUUGCAGGUGUAGCGGUGAAAUGCGUAGAUAUCUGCAGGAACACCCGUGGCGAAAGCGGCGAGCUGGAUCACUACUGACGCUGAGGAACGAAAGCUAGGGGAGCAAACAGGAUUAGAUACCCUGGUAGUCCUAGCCCUAAACGAUCAGGACUUGGGGUGCCGCCCGUUCGGGCGUCGUCCCGGAGCUAACGCGUUAAGUCCUGCACCUGGGGAGUACGGUCGCAAGACUGAA
rnacentral:rRNA from 1 species